GACGAACGCUGGCGGCGUGCUUAACACAUGCAAGUCGAACGAUGACGACCGAGCUUGCUCGGUCUGAUUAGUGGCGAACGGGGGAGUAACACGUGAGCAACCUGCCCUUCACUCUGGGAUAACCUCGGGAAAUCGGGGCUAAUACCGGAUAUGAGCUCCUGUCGCAUGGCGGGUGUUGGAAAGUUUGUCGGUGCAGGAUGGGCUCGCGGCCUAUCGGUUUGUUGGGGAGGUAGUGGCUCACCAAGGCGAGGACGGGUAGCCGGCCUGAGAGGGCGACCGGCCACACUGGGACUGAGACACGGCCCAGACUCCUACGGGAGGCAGCAGUGGGGAAUAUUGCACAAUGGGCGAAAGCCUGAUGCAGCGACGCCGCGUGAGGGAUGACGGCCUUCGGGUUGUAAACCUCUUUCAGCAGGGAAGAAGCGAAAGUGACGGUACCUGCAGAAGAAGCGCCGGCUAACUACGUG
rnacentral:rRNA from 1 species